rnacentral:lncRNA from 1 species
GAAUAGGAGUGUGCAACCUUUGGUCCAUGUGGAAGGGGUGCCCUGGGCAGAGGCAGAACUCCAGAAAACAGUGUAUGGAAAACUGCCUGCUCUGAGCAGGAGGCUGAGGAAGAGAAGAGGCCAACAGAAUGAGACAGGAGAGCCCAGUACUUCCCAAAAGGAUCGAACUUGGAACCUUGUGCUUGAGAGGCUGGCGGUAGAACCGCUGAGCUAAAUCCCCAGCCCCAAUUCAUGAUUUCUAUACAAAAAGUGAACAAAAGAAUCCUCAGCUGAUUGGUAACAUCUUGGACCAGUAGUACAGGAACGCUUCACUUUAAAUGGCAGUGAAGGAGCAGGCUCAAGAAUCAGCCCACAUCUGAUUUCCAUCUUACAUGAAGCUAAAAAUAUCACACUACCUGUGAAAUGAACUUAGGACCCAUAUUGGUGGGCGGCUGUGGGCAUACUCAGAUAUGGCACUCAAAUAAUGGCGUGCACCAGAAAGAAAGGAGACAUAGCAAAAAGAGCCAAAACUAAGGCCUAGGUUGGGAGAUGUAGCAAGUUGGCCAUUUAUUAUGUGAGGGGAUGGAGGCCCAGAGAUGGAAGAGCAGAAAGCACUGAAGGGGAGCCAAGGAAGGUGAAGAGACUGCUGCCCAUCAGGUAGUUCUCCAGAAGCCGAGCAAUCCCAGGUGUCUCUGUCACACCAUCACUGCUCCUGCAGGGCUUAGCUUAUAUGAAGCAAGAUCUACUCUUCAUUAAUGUAUAGUCAAUGCUUCCUAGAGUCAGAUGGAGAAGAGUAAAAUAGAUCUGUCUAAAAGCUAGAGACCUCGAAGGAACCAACUGAGGGCCUGGAUCCCAUGGCGAUGUCUCAUGGACGUCUGUAUCAAGGAUCUUCUGGGAGAAGCCCCAAAGGCCAGUGGUGGAAGCUAAAAAGUCUGUGCUGGCGGGAUGAAGGAACUGUGCCAGAAGGCUGAGGGAUCUGCACUGGAGCCAGGUAGCAAUGCUCAAGGCAAAGACCAGACCUCCCAUGAAGAGAAUAGCAUCUAUCCCUGGUGACAACAACGAGGACCCAAGGACCUGAACUCCUCUGACGAGGAGAACAGCCCAUAUCAGGAAAACCAGCCAGGGCAAGCUUCUCCAGGAAAAUCAACAGCAGAUAAUCUUCCCCUCCCAUUCUCCUUUUACGUUAUUCUGGCAACAAUCCUCAGGUGGGGCUUCCAUGCCCAGAACCACAAUGGCUCAGUUCAGCUGGGCAUUCCUACUUAAACUGACCAUUAAUUAAUCCACCACUAUUACUUAUUUUCCAAGUCCAUGAGAAACAUCUCCCAUGGGAAGUUGCCCUUUUUGCAUUUUCUCAGGUCAGGGACCUGAAAAUAUGGUAAUUUACCUAAAAGAUAAUGCAUAGUCAGUGAAGGACCAUUAUUAAUAUCACCCAGGAUUGAUCUACUGAGGCAAAAUUAGGGCAAGGUCACCAUGGGACAGUUUAGAUGGCCAAAUGUUGUCUUUUCUUUAAUAUUGAUUGCCAUUUGCUUUUUUUUUUUUUUUUUUUUUUUUUGUACUGGGGAUCAAACUCGGAACCUUGCACUUGCAAGACAGGCGCUGGAACCACUGAGCUAAAUCCCUAGCCCACCAUUUGCAUUUUAUUCCAGAGGUAACUAUUCUUACUUGGUCUGUGUCUCCCCUUGUGUGACUUUUGGUGUGGAAUUGUGUCCAUGUGUGGCAAACAGGUUAAUUAUCUCCUGUCCAGGGAGAAGUAGCGUAAACUGUUUUGCACUUGAUAAACUCUCUAGAUAAUCAUAUCCAAAAUCUUAGGCGGGGAGGACUGAGAAUCCAUGACUAACCCUGCAGUUAUUUGGUAAUUAAUCCUUCAGAUAUUCUUCCAGUAAAGGCGUGGACCCUGUGAAGGACAGGCACUGUGGGAGGGUGGUGAGGAAGGAUGGAACACUCCAGAGAGCCUCCUUAGCCUAAAGUGUACCUAAAGUCUGGGCAUUAAGACAAGCAAAGUGAUUAGGAAGCCAAAUGAGAAAUGCUUUCUCAGCGCUAUUUUGCCUUCAUUUACAUUUUUGGGAGGGAAUGAAGUCAGAAUUAUUUUUAAAUAAGAAAGAUGAUAAAAGAAAACCAACCCAUUAAAAGGUACAAGUUAAAUAUUCAUAAGAACCAGCCCACAUCCUUUCCAGGCAGUCUUCCAGGAGGUGGUGGGAUGUCCUCCUCCUAUGUAGGGCGGAGCUUCCAUCUCACCUAGGGUUGGGGGUAAGGCUGUCCCCCGCCCCAGUUUAAGAGGCAGCCUUCACAUCCAUGUCUCAAAUCAACCCUGCUUCACCUCUGAGCAUUGCCUACCGUGUUCAUAUUUCCUCACUUUUUGGAUCUCCUUUUCAAAGGAUUGCCACAAAUGCAGGCUUAAAUUGGUUGAACUUGUCAUUUUCUCCAAAGCAGCAAAUUCUCACCAUUUGUUUUAUUUCUGGAAGGAGGACAAAAGCAGCAAAGCUGUGUUUAAUGAUUGACACCUGGGGGUGGGUCCUUCUGAAGCAACUGGGGGAGGGAAAAGGGACUAUUAUGUUUCCCCUGGGCAUGAAUGCCACCAAGAUGAAACCAACUCCUGUGAUUCUCCCACCACAAUUAAAAGAGGUGAAAGAUGACUUUUAAAAGCUCAGUCUACCAUGGAAGAGGGUUUCAGUCACCAAAGUAGAUUCCAAGCAUGCAUAUGAAUUAAUAAAUGAUCAGAGAGCAAAGGGUAUUAAAGUAUUAUUUAAGACCUUUCUUUACUUAAUAAUGACAUAAAAGUAUCAUCUGUGAACAAUGCAAAAUGAAAAUCAGGAAUUCCUGUUCAAAAAAAUUAUUACAACUAUAAAAGCAGAUCAGUCAACCUAGAGCAUUAAAUCCUUUUGAAUUCAGGGCCUUGUUCAGGUCUCAAAUUCAUGAAAGUUUAAGACAAUUUUUAAAAUAUGUCCAAUUUGCUAGCAUUAAUUCAUCCACUAAGGAUUUAUCUUGUCCCAGGCCUGGUGGCCAAUGAAUGUAAUCUUAGCACUCAGGGGGCUGAAAAAUGAGGAUUGCAUGUUUGAGGCCCCAGACUGGGCUACAUAGCAAGACCUGUCUCAAAAAAAAAAAAAAAAAAAAAGGCUUAUAUAAGGACAGCAAGAUUACACUGUCCUGAAAUACUUUUUCUAUGGCUUGCAAAAGAGUGAAUUUGCCUAGAACAUAUAUAUCUACUUGGUUCAAACUAAUGAAAUGCUCUGGUUCAAUCCAUGAAACGCUCUGAAAGAGUUGUAGAAAUCUGCUUGCAAGUAUCUCCAUGUUUGAAGGAUUUAACAGUUUGUAAUUGUAUUAUUUCAGGAUAGACAAACGGAUACAUGGGUUUUGAAAGUGCUUUUAUGUAUUUGUUAUACCAUUGCCUUCACUGCUUCUAUCCUUAAUAGAUACCUAUUUAUUACCAUCUCUUACACUCAAGGUUGGUGUAUUUCAGUUUAUUUGACCAGGCAAGAGGAGGAGCAAAUAAUGUGUUUUCGCUACAAAACAAGGGUCUGGUAGAUGAGGCAAAGCUUUCAGGUUCUGAAAGUCAAUAUGGAUGAGGGGUCAGAUUGGGAAAAGAGGCAGCAGACCUGCAAAGGGGGAAGGAACCUGCAGUGGAGGAGACCCACAAAAGAGAAAACACACUAAGACCCUUUUGGGGUGGGAGGAGCUGGGGCAGGAAUGUCCAGUGUCAGCCAAUUAGUGAGUGAGCCGAUGUAAUAAGUGGGCAACCAGGCUAGGCAAGCCCUUUGCACUCCCACAGGGCCCCCACCUCAGUCCAGCUAGAGAAAGGCAGCACCUGAGAUGCACAAGGGGACAGUCAAAUCCAUAAGCACAUUUAUGUGUGCUGUAUUAGUCAGGUUCUGCACAGGAAUGGAAGCAAUAGAAUAUAUAUCAAUCUAUUUGAUUGGUUUAAGUGAUCAGAGGCUAAAGAGUCCCACAGUGGCCUUCCAAGGGGGGGAGGGCAGGAAAACAAGUGGCUACUGAGUUCAAGAAGCUGGAAGUCGAAGAACAAGAGGGACCAAUGGAGGGGUGCCAGACUGAGGCUGAAGGCCUGGAAGGCUCCUGGAGAAUGCCUGGUGAAAGUGUGUGUUCAAAGGCUGAAGAGUCUGCAGGCUGAUGUUUGCAAAGGAUAACAUCAGCAUAUCAGCAACCAGUGAAUGCACUCAAGAAUGGUCAAGUGAGCAAGGGAAGAGAACUUUCCUCUUCUUCUUCCCCGUUCCAUCCAGGCCCCCAGCUAGACUGGCCAAAUUCAGGGCAAGUCUUCACCCUUAGUUUACUGACCCACAUACGGAUCUUCUUUAGACACACCCUCAAGACACACCCCAAAGUGUGCUAUAUCAAUCCUCUAGCUGUCUCUCAGUCCAGUGAAGUUGGCAACCAAGAUUAACCAUUGCAUAUGGCCUCCACUCAUGCCAUACCUGCCACCAUGCCAUUGCUCAGAGAACUUCACAUGGCCACACUCCAGGUCAGGCAUGGGAAGGUGCAUUCUACCCCUUCCAGUCACCACACAGUCACAUGGCAAAGGGUUGAAGAGAUGAGAACAAUCCAGAUUGACAACAGUGUGGCCAGGAGGAUGAUGCCUGCCUUCCUUAAGGGAGGACCCCUCACGCCUUCCUUAAGGGAGGACCCCUCACCAGGGGCAUGGAAGGAGAAAGUACAGGAAGGUCCCAGGCCAUGGUGCCCAUCUCAGGGCUGGAAACUGCAGAAGGUGCCUGUGGUGAGCUGGCAGGACUGCCUCUGACAGGUUCUCAUGCCCAGGCUGAGUUCCUUCAGAUGUUAGACCCCUAAACAAGGGCAAUACCAAGGUCUCAUUCCUGAUAUCCGCUGGAGGGCAUCUGGGGAGCAGCAAGACCAGGGUUGGGGCCAUCAUUGAGCAUGGGAGGCAGAGGGAGUGUGUCAGGGGCAACUUGGUGUGAAUUGCCUGCUUGACCCCCAAGGAAGUCAAGGUCUGGAGGUGGCCUGGCUGCUGGAGUAGAAAUGUGUCUGUGGGACAGAGGGAGGCUUGGCUGCAUAGAGGCCAGGCAGCAGGUGGACUCGGGGGGGGGGGGGCAUUGUGACAGAGGAGCAAGUACUUACUAGGUUUGAGAUGUGGCACCUAGAAACCUCUGGGACCCAAGAGCCCUGGGCCAAGAAGUCCUUUCAGGGCGUUCUUGGGACGAAGAGGAAGUGAAGUGGGCAUCAGCCCAUUUGAACCGCAGCUCCUCUGUACCACUAGGAAUCACAGAGCUGGUUAAGAAUCCAGGGAAGGGCAACAUGUGCAGUGCUGUCAGAGUCAGCAACCUGCUUACCGGAAUUGUUUUGAAAUCGGAUGACCAGUUAGGCAAUAGUGAUCCUUCAGUAAUUACUGUCAGGACAACAGGGCUUCCACUUUGUGCACUGAGAGUCAGGAGCUAGUUUUUGAAAUUGUUUCCAACGAGUUGCAUAAUCUAUACGCACACGGCGCCUUUUAACACUGAGCUGUGCAGUUAGCAGACAUUCCUGCAGAGCGUGACCCCGGGAACUUCUUGCAGGAAGAGGCUGCAGCAACAACAAUGACAAGAAAGCCCCUGCUGCUCCAGCCUUCCGGGCGGGCCAGCCGAGUUGCUGAGCCAGCUGCAAGGGGGCGUGGGCUCUGGAGAGCCCAGCUGGCCCAGAUUCCCGCCCAGCUCAGGGAGUGGAAAUAAGCCAGCCUGGGGCUGCAGAUAAGCCUCCCGCUGUGCUGCCCUGUUAAUAUAUGCGUGACGUCACCGCAGCGCCUGCGUUCUCCUGUCCUUCCAGAUCCCAAGGGGGGAAGGCUCAUUCUUUGCAUCCUGGACCUCUUUUCACAGUAAAAAAUGUAUUAAAAGAAGCAGGAAGGAACCGUUAUGCAAGCUCUUCAAAAUAUAUGAUGUCUUUCACCAUUUAAAACGAAGUUUAAAGAAGAAAAGAUUUAAAGAAUUAUAGAAGAUCCCUGGGGUCAGGUUUCUUUUCCUCCUAAGCAUGGGCUGCCUUUUUUGGGUGGGCAGAGCCCAGAGCAGAAUGGGUGGGGCCUGGAGCGGGGUGGGCGGGGCUCAGGACUAGCUGAUUUCUGACAACACCUUUUCCCUAGCUCUAACCUUCCACGAUUCUGAACUUCUAGCAUCCUUAUUUUUCUUUCCUGGCUGAGUUUUCAUUUUAUUCUUGAAUAUUUGGGCUCAUUGUAAUAGGAUGGAGUGCUCAAAGUCUGAAGGGCGUCUCAUUUAUGUUUCUUUACAGGUGUUCAUAAAGAAGGUGUGUGGCCGGGCCUGGGAUUUAGCUCAGUGGUGCCACUGCCUGCCUUGCAAGCGCAAGGUCCCGAGUUCGAUCCCUAGUACCAAAAAAAAAAAGGUGUGUGGCUGUGGGUGUGUUUCUUAGGUUUCCGUUAUUUAAUGAUUAACUGGUGAUUAUGAUAAUUGCUGGAGAUGACUAACUUGUGAGGAGAACAGGUUUCUGUUGGCUCAGUUUUGGAGGCUCCAGCCCAUGAUCAAGCGGUCUGUUGCUUUGGGCCUGCAGUGGGCAGCAUGUCAGAGUGGAAGCGAGGGGCAGAUUACAGCAUUCACCUCAUCGUGAGCCAGCAACCAGAAGAAGAGAGGAAGAAGAGGUGCAGCAAGGGAAAGGGGCAGAGGGUCCACACCUUCAGGGACUACGAACCUCCCAUCAGACCCCACCUGUCAAAAUUCCACCACCUCCCAAGAGUACUCCCAACAGUACUCAGUCCUGGGCACCGAGCCUUUAACAAAUGGGCCUUUGGAACCUUCCGAUUGUAGCAGCGGGCUCGGACAGCGGGGGCAGCCCAGAGUGGCCUCUUUUGUGCUGCUUCCUGCUCCCUGCCAGGUACACUUUUGCUCCAAACCCAGUGGUCUCACUUGAGAUUGUUGCCUUAUCCACAGGAGAGAGAGCCCUUCAAAAACCCAGUCUCGGGCUGGGGAUUUAGCUCAGUGGUUUCAUUGCCUCCUGCACAAGCACAAGGACCUGAGUUCGAUCCCCCGUACCAGCCCCCCCCCCCCCAAAAAACAGUCUCACCCAAGAGCAGUCACAGGGUCUUAGGAUUCUGUUUUCCUGUCCUGAAGUAAUAAAGUAUAACUAGAAUUCUCCCUUUUUCUGUAGGAUGAAAUCGAUAGGCCAAUUUUAUGCAUUAUACCAAGCUCAAAUUUCUACCUUCAGUUGAAUUUUGGAAAGUAUUUAAGUGCACAUAAAACAAAAUCUGAUUGUUUACAACAAUAAUUUUUAAAACUCCAAUCCUAUGUAGGCCCCAUGACAAUAAGUAUGAUGCAGGUCAGAAGUUAGACCCUGUGGCCAGGUAGGGUGAUGAACAAAUAGCUCUACUCAGGGAAUGUCUCAGUGCCUAGAUUUCUGACUAGUGAGGGAUUUGUUGCUAUGUUUGGACAAGAGAUAGAAGGUACCCAUGAAGAGAGGGGUUUUGGAAGUCCUUACUCUGCUGCAGUAUAGGCAGACCAGGAGCAAGUUGGUGAGAGAAAAUAGCCUUUCAAAUUCACUGGGAAAUAAACGAUCAUUCCCUUUGAUUGAGAGACGUCAUCUACUGGAGGUAGGAUCUACUCCAUUCUCUGAAUUUGAUAUUUUCAAUUUAUCUCUCAUUCUCUUCUGAAUUUUGUUUUUUUUGUUUUUUUACUGGGGAUCAAAUUUGGGACCUUGCGCUUUUGAGGCAGGCGGCGGAACCACUGAGCUAAAUCUCCAGCCCUUCUCAUUUUCUUCUGAGCUGUUUCCAAUCAGAUUUUUAUCCACAUGUCUUUACCCAUACCACCCACACAACAUCCUUGUCUUAGUGUGUUGCUAUAACAAAAUACUUGAGACUGAGAAAUUUAUAAAGAAUAGAGGUUUAUUUAGCUCAUGGAUCUGGAGGUUGGGAAUUCCAAGAGCAUGGUACAGCAUCUGGUGAUGUUGCUGUAUUAUAACAUGAUAGAGAAAAGUGUGCUCGCGUGGGUCUCCCUUUCAGUUCUUAGAAAGCCACUAGCAUGAGGGCCUCAGCUCCAUGACAUCAUCUAAUCCUAAUUGUCUUCCAAAGAUCCUAUGCCCAAGUACCAUUAACAUAUGAAUUUGAAGAUUAAGUUUACUGAACUUUUGGAGACACAUUUGAGCCACAGCAGUCCUGCACAUUUUAAUCUAAUGAAGACCAGGGGACAAUUCUCAAUCCACAUCUCACUUUAUACCCUAGCAGCAUUUUUAUCAGUUGAUCAUUUCUCCAACUUAAAAUAUUUGACACCCAGGCCACCAUUUACAUUAUUUUCCUUUUACCUUACUUGUUUCACCCUCACAGUCUUGUUUGAUGUGUCCCGGGAUUCAGUCCUACACUUGAUCUUAGCCAAAAGGCAGAGAAGCGAUUCUGGGAUUCAGUCCUUAGCCUUCCCAAGGCUAUGCUGCUUCCCAUGCCACUGUCAUAGGAGUAAAAUUUUUUUUUUUUUUUUUUUUGGUACCGGGGAUCAAACUCCAGUCCUUGCGCUUUCGGGGCAGGUGGCAGAACCACUGAGCUAAAUCCCUGACCCCAUAGGAGUAAAUGUUGAUGAUUCCCAAACUUAUGUCUCUCCCUUGGUCCUGGAUAACUGCUAAGUUGAUGUCAAAUGGGCAUCUCAAAUGGGACACAGCCAAACAGAGCCCUUGAAAACUUCCUCAUACCUAUCUUCUCCACACACACAGUAGUGCUGGUACUGUCCUCCACAGGGAUUAAAAGGGAUAUGAAAAUUUCUAACUACUCUAAAAUUUCUCUUUCAUUGCUAGUAGAAAAAGCAACAUAUGGUCUGGCCUAAGUCAUCCCUAAUUUUAGGAAAUUCUAAAAUGCAGACACAGCCAGGCAUGGUGGUGCACGCUUGUAAGCUCAGCACUGGGGAGACUGAGGCAGGAGGAUCUCUGCAAGCUCAAGGGCAGCCUGGACUACAUAGUGAGUUCAGGGGAGCCUGAAGUACAUAGUGAGAGCCUGUCUCAAAUAGAAACCAAAAAUGAAUAAGUUAAAAUAAAAUAAAAUAAGAUUCAGACACUCAAGAACUAUAUGUUGAAUGAAUGUAUGAAUGAAUGAGAGGAAGUAGGGAACUUAUAUAGUCACCAGGUCUUCAGGGCCUCAUUUAUCUGGGUAGAUAUUUACUACCAAGUGGAUCUUCCAGGGAUUUAAGAACCUUAGACUUCUCCCUUGCCAUCUGUGAGCACUUCUCUACCUGAACUCCUGGCCCCAAGCAAGCACCAAUCAAUGGACUCUAAGACUCUGAUAUUGAAAUAGUAACUUAAGUUAACAAGUCUACAUACUAUGAAUGAGGUCCAGCAAAUGCUAGUCUCCUCUAUAACAAUUCAAAACAUUUAAAACUGAUGGGUGGUUCCAUUGUUUUUCAAGUAGUUAAGAAAAAAAAGAUGCAAAGGUUGCCUUUGAUGAGUGUUUGGAAAACAGCAGGGAUUGCACCUUUGUUAGCAUGAAAGAGGAGAGAGGUCAUAUACCAAAAGCUUAAUUCAAAUCACCUAUAGAUAAGUUUAAUAAAGUGAACUAUAUCAAUAUAAGACAAAUAUCCUCCUUUUGCUUUUAGAUUCUCCAAUUACUUGAAUCCUUAAUAUCAUCCUCUCUUUUUUUGGUGGACAAUCCUUUUAAAUAACUCAAACAGAUCUUAAUAUUAAGUGAUGAGAGAAUGGAUCAGAAAGACUAAUAACGGGAGAUGUGAAGUCAUUAAGAUGUGACGUCACUUAUUUGCCUCUAAGAAAAGCUCUCAUUACAUGGUGUAGGUCCCUUUCUGAGGUACAACACAGGGCUGGCCCCUGAGUCAUGUUCUGGUAACGAUCUGUGGGUGAAGAAGUCAGCUGCUCUGUUCACUUGGCCAAUCUGUGAGUAAUGGGAGGUGAGAACAGGUCUGGAUGUGGUAAAGAGGAAAUAAGGACAGAGGGUAAUAGAAAGAGGCUUUCUGUAGAAACCUCUGCCAUAUCCAUGGAAACCAGCCUUAGCUCCUUCCAUUUCUCUAGGACUUUUAUUUCCCCUCCUUUAUCCUUCUUUUUUAGGACUAUGAUUCUGCCCUACUACCCUCCCUAAAGUCUUCCUUUUCUGCCACUUUUGGAGCAGCAGCCUCCAUCCUUAUUGUCUCUUCAAGGUCCCUCAGAGAGGGAGGAAGGAAGAGAGGAAGUUCUCCUCCCUUGGUGCCCUUUCCCACACUGCUCCCCGCCCCUCACUCAUCACCACUGAAAGCUUCUGCUCUGAGAAGAGGAGGAGGAAGAGAGGAGAGGAGGGCGGGCACCUUGCUCUCCUGCUGUCCCUAGCCAUCCCUGGCACUAGGGCCAGUAGCACAGGCAGGUCCAUACAGCCCAUCUCACUAUCCCAACUCACUCUACUGGGGCUGCUGCUGUACUUCGUGGGCCAUAUGGGAGUUUGGCGCGAAGGGAGCCAUCCUACCACCACCUAACCAGCAGGUGAGAUGAGGUACAGAAUCAAACUGUGAAGUCAUGCUUGAGGUUGCUGGUGAAUGGAUGUGACAGGGGAACAGGGUGGGAGAGGAAAGGAGGACAGGCUCUGGACCACCCAGGUUGAGAUUCAUUUCUUCAUAGGGAGUCAUCAUAAAUGCUGUGUAGUUUCUUCCAUAUUUUAUACUCAUAUGCACAGUACAGAUACAGAUAUGGAUAGGCAUAUAUAUAUAUACUUUUAUGCCUAUAUGUAUUAUAUGUAUACAUACAUAUACAUAUAUCCAUAGAGCUUUAUUCUUCAGAAACGUAAUAGAUUCCAUAGGCUUUGAGGAUGGGCUAGGAUCCAAACACCAUUUGUUUCAAGAAGUGCCACAUAUAAAAGAGAUAACUCAACCAGCUGUUAAAUAUGGCGUUAUUUAAUUACUUGAUUGUAAAGAUAAAUGCACAGAAUGUGAUUCCUCUGGUCCUAUUUUGUUAGAUUUCCCAGAGAAUGAGACACAGUCAAAAGCAGAGCAGUUGAGGAGGGCAGAUGAGUUGAGAGCAGAUGGCAUUGAUGAGGUUAAUAUGGACCAAUUUGGAAGGGACAGCUGAAUUAUGAAGAUAUCCUCUUUUUAGAACAGCUUGUGGAAGUGUAUCUUAUGAUUCUAUUUUAGCCAUUCCCACUGCAGGAUGUUCUGGCCACAGGACACUGCAUUCUGGUCAAUACGUCUCCCUCCUCCUCUCUGGUGUAUUACUUCAUUUCAGUCAUGAGACACCAAGGGAGUGGCCGUGUCUAGCUUUCCUUUGUGCAUCAGGUAGAAAAUUCAAGGUUAUAGUGCUUUGACUUGCUUGUGAGUUUUUUCUCAGAAUUAAUACAGCAAGUUCCAGUCCAUGUGGUCACCAAGGAAAUUUGCUCCCUUAAAAACAGAGAGGAUAGUAGAAAGAGAGCAACCUUCUCCUCUUGCAGCUUUGCAUAAUAUGCAUGAAGCCUUGGGGCUUAGAGUUCUAGCAGCCAUUCUAUUCCUGGUAAAAACUUCUCAAGAGGAUGGUGGACUAGGAAGAGCCUGGGGUCUAAAGGAUCCUGCUGAGACACUGAACCAACCGGGACCACCUGCUCCUAGGCAGUAUGUUUUAUGAGAUAAUUACACAUCCUUAUUUCAUAAACCCAUAUUAGACCUGGGGAUCAGGAUUAUUUAAGCUCCAGCACAAUAUGAUUCUAAUUGUUUAUCCUUCUGUGCCCCCAAAGUUGAUCUUUGUCUUCAUAGCGAGUGAUGAUUAAAAGGAAAAAAACAGUUGUUAGUUGUAAUAGUAUGCUUUCUGCAUAUAUGGCUCAUUUUUCUUUCUGAUGUGAUGUAGACACCAAAUGUAAAAGGUGUUAAAGUUACAGUGGCAUAUAAGUCACCUCUACAGGAUUUUAAAAAAUGGAUCACUUACACAAGAUGCUAAAAUGUAAGAAAUUGAAACUCACACCUCCAAUAGCAUCUAAAAUGCCAUUAACCGUAACAAGGGAUCACCUAACAGUGAAGUCGGGUUUGGAGAAUGAAUUAUUUAACUUUCACUUGUGAGUUUUGAUAGAAGGCUUUUAUGCUAAGGGUCUGGAAGCUGCUGGAGGUGUGGGAGCUGCUGGGCUUCUGAGGAAGGUAGUGCAUACUGUUUGUUCUCUAAUAGGCAGUACUCAGGUGAGCUGCAGGCCAGGAAAGGCCAGGAAUCUUGAGGCACUUACUCCUGGGGCAGGGGGCCAAAGCUUUACAGAGAAAAGGUGCAUCGGGUGUAAAGAACGAAGAGAAGCCAGAGGAGGGGAAAGAACAUUGAGUCUGACACAGGAGGGGUGAGAGACAGUGCAGGCAGCAGUGGUGGGAGGGGCAGGCUGAGGUCACACAUGGAUAGGAUCUCAGCCUCAUAUUUACAUGGUUCUGGUUACACAGAGUGGAGCAGUGGUGUGGAAUUAAAGGAAACUCUAGAAUUAGGCACAUUACACCGGGGAGAUAGCACUGAUGGUCUAUCCUGAAGAACUUCUGCCAACUCUCCAUUUAUUCUCACCAAAAUCCAGUAUCACAAUAACAUACAAAUAACACUGGGAAAGUUCACCUGACUCUUAUGCAAGUGCCUGAAACCCUCCCCACGCUAGUUCUUUUCUGUGAUUGUUUUAUAAGCACAACCACUCAACUCAUGUUUUCCAGGGACAUAGCAGACUAUGUUAUUUGGACCAAUCGCUCUGCUGACAACAAAAAAUUCCAGAUACGUUUUGAAAAAAAAAUCUUAAAAGUAUGGAAGUAUUGAGAAUAUAGUAAGGAAUGAUGAGGCCAAAACCUAAGUAAAAGCUGAAGCUGUGAGGAGACACAACAGAGACUCUGAUCUGAGGGCAUUUGCCAACCAAGGUGAACCUGAGCUUCCGAUUUUCCAUCUUCUUGAGCAUGGAUAAUGGGAGAUUCAGCCACGAAGCUGUAUGUGUCAAUACUUCAGUCCUUUUUAUUACUGAGUAGUACUCCAAUGUGUGGACAUAGUGCAGGUUGAUUAUUCAUUCACUGGUUCGUGGACUUUUGGGUUAGUGUUUUUUAAUUAAUAUUACAAAUCAAGCCUCCAUAGAUAAUCACUAGGUGAACAUAAGUUUUCAUUUCACUUAGGUAAAUCCCUAUAAUUUGGGUCACGAGAUUAUGUGGAAAGUGUAUUAACUUCACCAAAAAUGGCUAAACUAUAUUCCAAAAUGGCAGCGCCAUCAUCUACAGUGUAUGAGAGGUCCAAUUGUUCCACAUACUCACCAACACUUCCAUAUUGUCAGUUCCAUUUUAUUGCUAUUCUCAUAGGUAUGAAUUAAAUUCACAUUCCCCAAAUUACUAAUUAUGUUGAGUAUCUUUUCAUAUUUGCCAAUCUAUGUGUCUUCUUUGAGGAAGUGACUACUCAAUUUCUAAUUGAGUGCUAAAUUUUUAUUAGGGUGUUGGCUGACUAUUGCCUUUGGAGAGUUUUAAAACAUAUUCUAGAUAAUAAGAUCUAUGAUUUUGUGAACACUUUCCCCAACCUAUGCCUUGUCCUUUCAAUUUUUUCAACAAAUUCUUUUUAAAGAUCAGAACCUUUUAAUUUUUUUUUUUCCGGUACCAGAGAUCGAACUCAGGACCUUGCGCUUGCUCAGCAGGUGCUGGAACCACUGAGCAAAAUUCGCAGCCCCAGAACCUUUUAAUUUUGACGAAAUUCAAUGUGUCAGUUUACGGGGUGCGCCUUUGGAUUAGAGCGGGUCCCCUUUGAAUCUGUUUUAUGUCACAGUGGCUGAGACCCCCCAAGCUUUCAGGAGUCUCCAUCCUCCCUUUCCUCUGUUCCACUUUCUCAGAUAAGUAGAAGACAGUCAUCUCAUGAAUCACACUGAGGAACCAGAGGUCUGUUGCUGUGCAGCAUCUUCGGUCUUGACAAAGACCUGGGAUUUGAAGUGGCUCAAAAAAUACCACACAAGGAAAGAAAAUAUUCCAUCAUGUGCCUUUCGGGACAGAGAAGCUUUUCAAAGAAAAUUCUCAUCUGCAACAGAUUUUACUAGGCUCUUUUCCAAACCAGCCCUCUAAAUCAGUUUUAAUACUUUUUAGUGAAGAGAGAUUCAACAAUAACUACCUUUAUUCACCUACAGAAGCAUAUUUUAGAAACAUCCUAGCAAGUGCUUAAAAACAAUAAUCGUUUUAUGCCCCAUAUGGUCUUCACAGAGCCCAUUACCAGGUGCUCCAGAAAGAGCAAAAACACCAAAAUGUUCCUAAAUAUACAACUUCAGCUUGCUCACUUCUUCUGGGAACUUCUUCGGGGCCCCAAUGGCUGUCUAUCUUGUAGCCUGUAAAAUGAAGCAGGUGUUCACCUAACCAGCUCUAGUUAUAGAGCUCUUGUCCAGCAAUUACCUCAAUGCACGUGAAAUUUGGAUUUUUAGAAAUCACACUUCCAACUCUGUUACAUAAAAUAUCUUGGCACAAGGUUCAGUUUUGCCUCUUUUUGUGGUCUGAUAUAUGCCCAUGCUCGACUACAAUCUAAAGCUAACAUAACUCUGUAGUGAGACUAAAUGCCAUUUCUUCAGAGUGUGAGAAGAAAAGACAUUUUCAUCUCCUGCUUCAGAAGAAAACCUAUCAAGUGCUAAGUGCAUGAACGAACAAUGAAAGCACAAUCUUGUGAGUGUUUUCUGAUAGUUAAUUGGUUGGCUGAAAAAAAUAAAUGAAAAGUGUCUAGUGAAUACCUCAAGCUCAAUUAGGAAAAUUUUCUGAAAGUGCUUAUUCCAAUAGACUUCCUAAAGAAAGUAUUUUUUUUUUGCUCAAAUGAAGGAGACAGCUGUGUGAAGUUUUUUUCUUGGUACUGGGGAUUGAACUCAGGGCCUUUGCACGGAGCUACAACCCCACACACUUUUUUAGUUUUUAUUUUCAAAUAUGGCCUCACUAAUUUGCUGAGGCUGGGCUUGAACUUGUGAUUCUCCUGCUUCACCCCCCAAGAGUGC